GUUUUAAUUUCAUCAUUCGCCGCCUGAAGAGACAAGAUGGCGGAGCUUGCGAAAUCGAAAAUUGGUACUUGAAAGUCAAUGGUUGAUCAUGAUGACCAUCUUUUAUUUAAUGGAGAAAGAAACCAAUAUUUGCAGCUGGACAGGCUGUCACCACAGUUCAAUGAUUUAGUUAAGACAAUGAAAUAGAAGAACUCAACACUUGCACCAGUGGAAGUACUUCUUAUUGGAUAGAGAACUUUUCAAGGUCAGACAUCAGCUUUUGAAGUUGCUUUCUUGGCACAUCAUGCUGUCCAGUGGAGUUCAUACCAUAUGCCAGGCCUUUAUACAUGGUCAAAGAAGAUGAAUUUGUUAUUCAAUUUGUGAAAUUUGAUUUAGCGAGGACUUUCAUAUAUGGUGAUUAUAUUCAGCAGAUUAUCUUCAAGUGUGCACUUUAUAGAAUCACAGUUUCUAGGAGGUUUUCAGUUUAAAGUUAGAUUAAUUUAAAAAUAAGGGGAGCUAUCAUACUCACCAUGGUAUCAACAUUGGCAUUACACCAGGUUUAAGUUUUUCUUACCAGUCCAUAAUUUAAAAGGACCUUUUUACAGUAUUGAAACUUACAACAGUAAUGUAUCAUCAUUAUACCAAGUUUUAGGCAAGAGUACAUAACUCCAUCAAGGAUUUGACUGAACUAUGGCCCUUUGAAACUUUUGUCACUUGUUUAUAAUAAUAGUCUCUCUAUAUAGGCAAGAGUUCAUAACACUGUAGAGUAUUUUGGAUGAAUUAUGUCCCUUUUGGACUUUGAAAU
rnacentral:lncRNA from 1 species